rnacentral:rRNA from 1 species
CAGUAGCGUAUAUUUAAGUUGUUGCAGUUAAAAAGCUCGUAGUUGGAUUUCGGUUAAGAGCGACCGGUCCGCCGUUUGGUGUGCACUGGUUGGUUUUAACUUCCUGUAGAGGACGUGCUCUGGGUUUAACGACCUGGACUCGGAGUCUACGUGGUUACUUUGAAAAAAUUAGAGUGUUCAAAGCGGGCUUACGCUUGAAUAUUUCAGCAUGGAAUAACACUAUAGGACUCCUGUCCUAUUUCGUUGGUCUCGGGACGGGAGUAAUGAUUAAGAGGAACAGUUGGGGGCAUUCGUAUUUCAUUGUCAGAGGUGAAAUUCUUGGAUUUAUGAAAGACGAACUUCUGCGAAAGCAUUUGCCAAGGAUGUUUNCAUUAA